rnacentral:rRNA from 1 species
GACAGAGGGUGCAAACGUUGCUCGGAAUUACUGGGCGUAAAGCGCGUGUAGGCGGACUGGUGUGUCGGAUGUGAAAUCCCCAGGCUCAACCUGGGAACUGCAUUCGAAACUGCCAGCCUUGAGUGGUGGAGAGGGAAGUGGAAUUCCCGGUGUAGUGGUGAAAUGCGUAGAUAUCGGGAGGAACACCAGUGGCGAAGGCGACUUUCUGGCCUGUUCUUGACGCUGAGGCGCGAAAGCUAGGGGAGCAAACGGG